CAAGUAGUCGCUUUCCUAUCAACGCCACAUACAAGUUAGGAUGAAGAUUGCAGCUUGGACGCUACUCCUAACACUCGCCUUUCUCGUGCUAGCAUCAAAUGCGGAUACAGAACCAUGUUGUACGGUCAAAUACUUGAAGAAGUUUGGUGGGUAUUUAAUUGGUGGUUGUCAGAAAGAUUGCCACCGAAUCCUUACGUGCCCCGAAGACAAGGAUUGUGAUUUGGAGGCUGACAUUGUUGGCAAGAGGUGCAGGUGCACGAUGUGCAUAUACUCCUCCAAGGCUCAAAUAAAGGAAACUGUCAUGUUAACUAGCUAAUCUAAAAUAAUAACAAUGCCAUAUCGUGCGGUGUAUCACCAUGACUAUUUGCAAUAAAUCUUUAUAGAACAUAAUUCAAUGUUA